rnacentral:misc_RNA from 1 species
AGCAGCCGCGGUAAUUCCAGCUCCAAUAGCGUAUAUUAAAGUUGUUGCAGUUAAAAAGCUCGUAGUUGAAUUUCGGGAUCAAUAUGUCGGUCGUGCCUUCGGUACGUACUGGUAUCAUUGGUCUCUCCUUUCUGACGAACCAUGAUGUCAUUAAUUUGGUGUUAUGGGGAGUUAGGACUGUUACUUUGAAAAAUUAGAGUGUUUAAAGCAGGCUUUAGCUUGAAUACAUUAGCAUGGAAUAAUGAAAUAGGACGUUCGAACCUAUUUUGUUGGUUUCUAGGAUCAACGUAAUGAUUAAUAGGGAUAGUUGGGGGCAUUAGUAUUCAAUUGUCAGAGGUGAGAUUCUUGGAUUUAUUGAAGACUAACUGCUGCGAAAGCAUUUGCCAAGGAUGUUUUCAUUAAUCAAGAACGAAAGUUAGGGGAUCGAAGACGAUCAGAUACCGUCGUAGUCUUAACCAUAAACUAUGCCGACUAGGGAUCGGAUGAUGUUAAUUUUUUAAUGACUCAUUCGGCGCCUUAC